AACGAACGCUGGCGGCAUGCCUAACACAUGCAAGUCGAACGAGACCUUCGGGUCUAGUGGCGCACGGGUGCGUAACGCGUGGGAACCUGCCUUUAGGUUCGGAAUAACUCAGAGAAAUUUGAGCUAAUACCGGAUGAUGUCUUCGGACCAAAGAUUUAUCGCCUUUAGAUGGGCCCGCGUUGGAUUAGCUAGUUGGUGGGGUAAAGGCCUACCAAGGCGACGAUCCAUAGCUGGUCUGAGAGGAUGAUCAGCCACACUGGGACUGAGACACGGCCCAGACUCCUACGGGAGGCAGCAGUGGGGAAUAUUGGACAAUGGGCGAAAGCCUGAUCCAGCAAUGCCGCGUGAGUGAUGAAGGCCUUAGGGUUGUAAAGGCUCUUUUACCCGUAGAUGAUAAUGACAGUAUCGGGAGAAUAAGCUCCGGCUAACUCCGUG
rnacentral:rRNA from 1 species